GAUGAACGCUGGCGGCGUGCUUAACACAUGCAAGUCGAACGGAAAGGCUCCUGCUUGCAGGGGUACUCGAGUUGCGAACGGGUGAGUAACACGUGGGUGAUCUGCCCUUCACUUCGGGAUAAGCCUGGGAAACUGGGUCUAAUACCGGAUAGGACGAUGGUUUGGAUGCCAUUGUGGAAAGUUUUUCGGUGUGGGAUGAGCUCGCGGCCUAUCAUCUUGUUGGUGGGGUAAUGGCCUACCAAGGCGUCGUCGGGUAGCCGGCCUGUGAGGGUGUACGGCCAAAUUGGGACUGAGAUACGGCGCAGACUGCAACGGGAGGCAGCAGUGGGGAAUAUUGCACAAUGGGAGGAAGCCUGAUGAAGCGACGCAGCGUGGGGGAUGACGGCCUUCGGGUUGUAAACAACUUUCGCUAGGGACGAAGCGCAAGUGACGGUACCUGGAGAAGAAGCACCGGCUAACUACGUG
rnacentral:rRNA from 1 species